AUUGAACGCUGGCGGCAUGCCUUACACAUGCAAGUCGAACGGCAGCACGGGUGCUUGCACCUGGUGGCGAGUGGCGAACGGGUGAGUAAUACAUCGGAACGUACCUUAUCGUGGGGGAUAACGCAGCGAAAGUUGCGCUAAUACCGCAUACGCCCUGAGGGGGAAAGCGGGGGACCGUAAGGCCUCGCGCGAUUAGAGCGGCCGAUGUCUGAUUAGCUUGUUGGUGAGGUAAAAGCCCACCAAGGCGACGAUCAGUAGCUGGUCUGAGAGGACGAUCAGCCACACUGGGACUGAGACACGGCCCAGACUCCUACGGGAGGCAGCAGUGGGGAAUUUUGGACAAUGGGGGCAACCCUGAUCCAGCAAUGCCGCGUGAGUGAAGAAGGCCUUCGGGUUGUAAAGCUCUUUUGUCAGGGAAGAAACAGCAGCUCUAACACAGUCUGCGAAUGACGGUACCUGAAGAAUAAGCACCGGCUAACUACGUG
rnacentral:rRNA from 1 species